rnacentral:rRNA from 1 species
GAUGAACGCUGGCGGCGUGUCUAAUACAUGCAAGUCGAGCGAACGGACGAGAAGCUUGCUUCUCUGAUGUUAGCGGCGGACGGGUGAGUAACACGUGGAUAACCUACCUAUAAGACUGGGAUAACUUCGGGAAACCGGAGCUAAUACCGGAUGAUAUUUUGAACCGCAUGGUUCAAAAGUGAAAGACGGUCUUGCUGUCACUUAUAGAUGGAUCCGCGCUGCAUUAGCUAGUUGGUAAGGUAACGGCUUACCAAGGCAACGAUGCAUAGCCGACCUGAGAGGGUGAUCGGCCACACUGGAACUGAGACACGGUCCAGACUCCUAAGGGAGGCAGCAGUAGGGAAUCUUCCGCAAUGGGCGAAAGCCUGACGGAGCAACGCCGCGUGAGUGAUGAAGGUCUUCGGAUCGUAAAACUCUGUUAUUAGGGAAGAACAUAUGUGUAAGUAACUGUGCACGUCUUGACGGUACCUAAUCAGAAAGCCACGGCUAACUACGUG